rnacentral:rRNA from 1 species
CCCAGCUCAUCAUGCUAGAGCACGUUUUCAAUGGGCUCCCCAACGACAAGGCGAUGACGCAUUCGGAUGUCAUCCAUAUCAACUUUCAAUGCCAUUUACUGCACCUACCAUGGUGACCAUGGGUAACGGGGAAUCAGGGUUCGAUUCCUGAGUGGGAGCCUGAGAAACGGGUACACAUGCAAGGAAGGCAGUAGGCGCGCAAAUGACCCACUCUCGACGCGGGAAGGUAGUGACG